AUUGAACGCUGGCGGCAGGCCUAACACAUGCAAGUCGAACGGUAACAGGCCGCAAGGUGCUGACGAGUGGCGAACGGGUGAGUAAUGCAUCGGAACGUGCCCAGUCGUGGGGGAUAACGCAGCGAAAGCUGCGCUAAUACCGCAUACGAUCUAUGGAUGAAAGCGGGGGACCGUAAGGCCUCGCGCGAUUGGAGCGGCCGAUGUCAGAUUAGGUAGUUGGUGGGGUAAAGGCUCACCAAGCCAACGAUCUGUAGCUGGUCUGAGAGGACGACCAGCCACACUGGGACUGAGACGCGGCCCAGACUCCUACGGGAGGCAGCAGUGGGGAAUUUUGGACAAUGGGCGCAAGCCUGAUUCAGCAAUGCCGCGUGCAGGAAGAAGGCCUUCGGGUUGUAAACUGCUUUUGUACGGAACGAAACGGUCCGGGUUAAUACCCUGGGCUAAUGACGGUACCGUAAGAAUAAGCACCGGCUAACUACGUGCCAGCAGCCGCAGUAACAC
rnacentral:rRNA from 1 species